AUGUAUUUGUCCCUACCAACUGAGUUAAACUCAUGGAUACAGAAUUGUAAGUUAUUUACAAAAACAUUAAUCAAUUUGAUUGUUUACUCAAAUCAAUUAAUUAAAUAAAUAAACCAAAUACAAAUCUUUAUCAUCAAUCCUUGUAAUGAUUCUUUAAUCUACAAAAAUCCUUGUAAUGAUUCUUGUAAUAAUUUUUAGAUAAUUACUACUUCGUCCCACAUAUUCUAGCCCAAAUAAAUUUAGAAUAGGGGUUCCAUGCUCUUAAAGGUUUGCGUAGUUACGCAUUUGGCAUAUUUUUUGUCGUUGGAUCAGGCUACGAUGAUUCAAAUCAAAACUUAAUAUAUAUUUUUAUUUUAAAAUUGUAUUAAUUUUUCGAUCUUAAUCCAACGAUCGCAGAUGGGUCAACCGUGUGAAUGCGGC
rnacentral:lncRNA from 1 species